rnacentral:rRNA from 1 species
AGCGAACGCUGGCGGCAGGCUUAACCCAUCCAAGUCGAGCGGGCGUUUCUGGGUUUGCGGCGUGCGGGUGUGUAGCACGUGGGAGCAUGCCCUCUGUUUCGGAAUAUCUCCGGUAAGAUUGCGUUAAUACCGGAUACGCCCUUUUGGGGAAGGGCUGUCUGCGGGAGGUUCGGGUCUGGUCGGUUUAGCUAGUUGGUGAGGUCACGGCUCACCACGGCGACGUUCAGUAGCUGGUGUGGUAGGAUGAUUAGCCACGCUGGGACUAAGACACGGCCCAGACUCCUACGGGAGGCAGCAGUGGAGAAUAUUGUACAAUGGGCGCAAGCCUGAUCCAGCCAUGCCGCGUGAGUGAUGAAGGCCGUAGGGUUGUAAAGCCCUUUUAGCCGGGACGAUAAUGACGGUACCGGAUAAAUAAGCCCCGGCUAACUUCGUG